rnacentral:rRNA from 1 species
UACGGGGGGGGGCAAGCGUUGUUCGGAAUUACUGGGCGUAAAGGGCGCGUAGGCGGCCUGCUAAGUCGGAUGUGAAAUCCCUCGGCUCAACCGAGGAACUGCAUCCGAUACUGGCGGGCUUGAAUCCGGGAGAGGGAUGUGGAAUUCCAGGUGUAGCGGUGAAAUGCGUAGAUAUCAGGAGGAACACCGAUGGCGAAGGCAGGUCUCUGGGCAUUAACUGACGCUGAGGAGCGAAAGCAUGGGGAGCGAACAGG